rnacentral:rRNA from 1 species
UACAGAGGGGGCAAGCGUUGUUCGGAAUUACUGGGCGUAAAGGGCGCGUAGGCGGCCUGCUAAGUCGAACGUGAAAUCCCUGGGCUCAACCCAGGAACUGCGUCCGAUACUGGUUGGCUUGAAUCCGGGAGAGGGAUGCGGAAUUCCAGGUGUAGCGGUGAAAUGCGUAGAUAUCUGGAGGAACACCGGUGGCGAAGGCGGCAUCCUGGACCGACACUGACACUGAGGAGCGAAAGCCAGGGGAGCAAACGGG